CUGACCGUAGCUGAAGGAGCCACUUCCAAGAUGGCACACUUACCUGCCUCGGUUCCUUGCCAUGUGGACCUCUCCACAGGACCACCUGUGUGUCUUCAAGUGUGGCUGCUGACACAGUGAAUGAUCCAAGAGAAGAACAAGGAGGUCCUUCAUGGCCUAGUAUCAGAAGUCACACUGUCACUUCUGCCACAUUUUUGUUGUUAGAAGUGUCACUAAGGCUGGCCCUGCAUGGGUGGAGGGGAGUUAGGCUUCAUUUUUAGAAAGGAAGAGUGUCAAAAAAGAUCCUGAACAUAUUGUAAAACUACUAUACUGUCAACUGCUCUUUUCUGCUGAUAAAUAGAAACCAUCCAGUUUUUACCAGCCAUCAACCAGAUCUCCACCAAACUGCUCUUUGGGGAACGCACCCCCCCCAUGGUUGCUCACAGCUGCUUCUGAGUGCUGAGUAGGUCUGCAGCUUCAUCCUCUCAUCAACCCAAUCUCCUCAUUCUUGGCAUUCAAGACCUCCCUGCUGUGGCUUAAACCAACUUUCCAGCUUACCUCUAGCCACUAUGAGGCGCUUUUAUUCCAGCAGUGUUUUCUAUUUAUUCUUUAUAACAAUAAUGGCUGCCAUUUAGAGUACCUGAUAUGUUUUAGGCACUGUACAGAUAUUAUCCAUAAUCCCUAAUUCUGCAAGAUGGGGAAAGAGAGGUUCAGAGAAAUUAGGUAACUUGCCCAAGAGCUCACAGCUAGUCAGCAGCUGUGGAGUCAGAUCAGGCUUUCCUUUCCUGCCUCCUGCUGGGCCCCCUGCCUCUCUUCCACCAGACAAUCCCUUCCCCUCCAUCCAGGCCCUUCCCAGCCAGCUCAAGCUUCAUACUGGGGGAGGUUUUCUCUGCUGUGAUCGCGGUUGGCACUCAUCCAAGUCUCAUUCCCCGGCCUCUGUGCCCCGCCUCCACCCCCUCCCCGGCGGCAGGACCUGUUGCGGCUCUUCCGCCGGAGCCCGACCUCCUUCCCGCUCGCCGCACCGCUCCCAGCGCCCAGCUCCCUGGCUCUCGUCUCCAAGGUUACCCAGCGACUUUGCCCGACUCUGCUACCUCCUCCCAUUUCUUAGCUGUGCCUGCGGGGAGGUGGAAGAGGGGUUGGGGCUGCCUGGAGAGAAGGUGCCAUCUCCCUCCCUGAUCCUUUCACGAUUGGUUCGUUCCUUUGUCUCUUCCUUUCCUUUCCUUCCCCUGCCUGGUAAGCUUUUCUUUGCCCCUGCUUUGUAAGCUUCUCUCCUCGUUUCUCUGUCUCUUUGUCUCUAUUUCCUCUACUACUUUGUCUCUCCAUCUUUCUUUUUCUGUCUCUCACUUUCUGACUCGGUUUCUCUCUGAGUAUCUUUCUUUGAGUCUCUCUCUUUUACCUUUGCGUUCUCCUCUGAGUUCUGGUUUUAAAUUCAGAAACAGUAAGAAUUAUCCCUGGUCCCUUACUAACACCCCGUGUCUUCAGGCUUGGGUGUUAAAGGGCUUUGCUGGAGGAGAUGUAAAGUCUGGAGCCCGGAGCAGGCUCAGGUGCUUAGGGAGGGGAGUGGGCAGGAGCCACAGUAGCACUAACACUAGGCCUAAGGACGACCAGCGCCCCUACGCCCCUCUGUGUGCCUGGGACACGCCCUGCCUAAGCAGAGGCUGAGGCUGACAGGCCCCGCCUCCCCUGUGUUCAGGCUGCAAUGCUGUCCCUUGACUGAUGCUCUCCCCUGAUGGAGGUUUGCUGCAUGUGCUUGUGAUCUACAGGUGUCCCCUUUCCAUCACCCCAGGCGGAGCACAUGACAGGCCAGGCACAGAGCCGGGCACUCAGCAGGUGCUCAGCCUGUGUGUCUCCUGUCAAGGAGGGACUUGCACAGAGCCUCUGGCCUCCAUGUCACCUGGGUGUUAUAUAAUGUUCUAGGGGAAAUAAAGCUUUUCCCAAGAACCUUUUGGGGAACUUUUCCAGAAAAAUUAAGAGAUUUUUUUUUUCCUGUAGGAAAUGUCCAUUUCCUUCUGCUGAAAAAUUUUCCAUUUUUCUCUCAGACUUUGAUAUCUGUACUAAAAUGCAGUAAAUGGCUUCUAUAUUUCAACAUGAUCAUUACAUCUUAAUGCAUCUCUGUUCCUAAACUAAUAGUGACAUUAUAAAGGGCCCUAAAAACAAGACCUUGCAUACAUUUUGACCCUGUCACGUUUCUCCCUUGGCCUAAGCAUUUCUGGACUUUCUCCCCCUACGUGUCUAAACUAGAGCCCUGGGAGAUCAGACCGAGGUGACUGUUCUAGAUGCUCCUAAACAUGGGAUUAAGGGGGACACUGCCAGCUCAAGCAGGAUCAGCAAGGCCUACCCACCUAGAACUGGUCAGACCCCAGCCAGAAGAGUCAGUGAGGUCCAGCCUAACCCUAUGAGACCCAGCUAGGCUGUCCUGAGGCUUCAGUUCUUAGUGAGUCCUUCCUGGUCCCAGAGAGAAGCUCUUUCUAGCUUCUGCCCCAGAUUCCCAGGAUGAGCAAAAGAAUCCUAGGUCUCCCUAUACGUAUGGGAGGACAAUCCAUGCCAUUCUGCCAUUUCCCCCUCCCCCACAAGUAUUUUGGAUGUGCCAGGUCUAGGCCAUGCUCCACCUCCUGGGAUGCCUCCUGUUUUCUCUGUUGAUCUACUACCAUUAUCUUUUCAAAAACGGAUGUAGAACUCACCUCCUCCUGGAAGCCUUCCCUGAUUAUCUCCAUUCCCCACUCAACAUGUAUUUCUGGAGUGUCUGUCACAUGCCAGACACUAUCUUGGACACUGGGAGUACCUUAGUGAACAACCCAGGUGGGGUUCCUGCCCACCCCCUGCCCCGCCAAGCUUACAUGAGAAGAACAGACAGUAAAUAGGAAAAUGAAUGCUGUGAUGACUAACCUGGGAUUCCCUAGCUGGAGGGUCCAGGGAGACCAGGCCCAUUCUCAAAGAGGAAAAAUCCACCUUGGGCAAGUCACCUAUCUCUGAGCUCAUUUUCCUCAUUUGUGAAAGUAAGGGGUUUGUUAACUUUUUGCUCUAGAAUUAUUGUGUCUUAAAAGCAAAUUUACUUUCAAGUGAGUUUAUAAAAAUAUCACAUUAUUUCUGGAGGCUUACUAGGUCAUUAUAGAAAAAUUUAAAAUCCUAAUUAAG
rnacentral:lncRNA from 1 species